GAGAGAGAGAGAGAGAGAGAGAGAGAGAGAGAGAGAGAGAGUAAAAAGUGGAGUGAGUUGGGGUUUGAUUAUAUUUGCUGAUGUUAGAAUUGAGAACGUCCAAUACUAUGGAUCUUGGGAAUUUUAGCAGUAUUAGUAGUGUCAGCUUCCACUAUAAUUCCUGUACUGGUUGCAGUUGCAGCUAUUUCCAUUCAUCAUCAGCACCCUUGUCUUUUGGGAGUUCCAAUUCAAUGCUCAAAAUGGUGUCUUUCAACCCCUCCAUUAAUUCUCUCACCUGUUUAAUUCCAAGGCUUUUCUCUUCACCUGUUUGUGAAGAAGAGAAAGCUUGAUUCUUGAAUUCUGGAUCAUCCCCCCUCCUCCCUCUUUAAUUCAAUUUUUCGCUUUGUUCCCCCCUUUAGCGGUGUGUUUUUCUUGCUGAUUUUUGGCGGCUUUUGGGGGUGUACUGACAAAAGCUGUUGCCUCUUGGCCGGAUUUCAGCGAACGUUUUGUUCUUUUCUUAGAAGUUUGGGAGCUUCUCAUUCAAUUCGCAACAUCCAUUUUGUGAUAUAGGCUGGAGUCUUGAACGAUUCUUCAUCAUCUUUCAAGAGAGAAAAAAAAAAAAAAAGAAAGAAAUUCAAGAAAAUGCUGUGUGUUUCAUUGCCUGGGUUGAGUAAUCAGCAGAUGACAAUGAUGAUGGCUGCUGGAAUUGGUGCAUCUUCCACAGCAAUGGCGAUGAAGCCUUUGGCAACUUGUGGGCGGUAUGAUUUUGACGGUCGUGGUGGAUGUUGGAGUGAUUGUGGCAAAGGGAGGAGGAACUAUGUUGUCGAUGCCGCAACAGGAAAUGCUUCCUCUGCUCUGACGGAAUACUCUAAGAAGUCGAGAGCUGAUUUUUACAAGGAGGUCCUUGAAGCUGCUAGAGAUAAAUUUACUAGGGAGAUAUCUUUUCAGUCGAAGGACAAAGAUAUCUCACUUGCAAAGACUUUACUUUAUGUUGCUGCUGAAGAUGAAGCAUUCUUGGCUUUCAACGGUGAGAUGGAUGCCCGUUCAAUCCGGAACGAGAGGAAAGAUACGUUAUCAUUGGAAGACGCCCAAGAGUGGGGCUGUGUGGAGACUAUGCCAAUGGCUGGAAAGAAUAUAAAUGAGUGGUUGGCCGAGCUAGAUGCCAUAGCAAAAGAAGUUGAAGCUGAGCUAGUUCCAAGAGAGAUAGGAUGUGACUUGGUAGAAGUUCUCGAUGCAGUGAACAAAGUCCUCUUUGAGACUAGGGGUUUUGAGAGGUUACCCGUUUUAGUAGAUUCGAAAUGUUCAUAUUUGCACUCAGUGUUAAGCUCUGGACGUGCCAGCGCAAUUUUGCUUAGCGUGAUUUAUAUUGAGGUUUGCAGAAGACUUAAUCUGACCAUUGUGGGAUCUCGAGUCGGGGAAGAUUUUUUGAUAUGGCCCCUGACGGGGAACCCUGAAGAGUUAUUCAAGGUGACUUCUGGACACAGCUUGUUUGGUGUUGUUAACGGGAAGUGCGUGGAUGAUCCGCGAUCUAGGGCCUCGGACAUAACCAGCAACUCACUGUUAGGCCUAGACAUCGCGACGAACAGAGAUAUCAUUGGGAUUGCUUUGGCCAAUUUAAUACGGCUUCAUUGGAAACGUGCUUCGAGAACAAAUUACGGGUUGAUGCUGACUUCUCCACUCAGGUCCUUUAACAAAUAUGACGAGAAGUUCAACAAGAACAGUGGUUCAAAUACGCCUUUGUUGCGGCGUCAGGAGCUUAGGUUUGAGAUGCUUAUAUUGCAAGAUUGGCAUGAGAUUGAGGAAAUUGUGAAUUCGGACUCAUAAAUUAUCUCCACAUAUAUUCUAAAUCUAGCCGAACGGCUUAUUUCUAGAUUAUAUAAUCCUAACUUAUAUUUAAUGAGUUGGGUUGCCUGCUUCUUACUUUAUAAGUUGCGGGUAUAUAGUUCCCUACUUAAUUACGGAUCGUUACAUGCCGUUGGGUAGUAGGGCUUGUUUUCUGCUCGAGGAAUACCUACAUUUGUACAUUUCUAUCUGUUAUCAACGUCGGGACAUGCAUACAUUCAUGCAUUUCAGUGACAAAUGUAGCAAGCAUCAAAUGGUUUUACCAUCCUUUGUUGUCGGUCCUAGGAGCAUCAUAAUCUCCAAUGAGUGGUUUAAAUCUUUGUGUCACAUUGUCCAAAUCUUGAGAGACGGAACUGAGGCACGGGGUCUAUGUUCCAUAAAGGACUCGUAAGAUUAGGAUUUUGCCCAUGAAUAGUCGCUUCUCGUUGGCUGGAUUACCCCUUAGUAGAGACCUUUGCUGUUAUGUUUCAUCUUAGGUUUGGCCGAAGCAGAUAUUGUCAGACUCAUACAGCAUCAGACCUUUGUUCAGGAACAUAAGUUGCAUGAUUUAUGCAUAACUUUAUAUGUUGUAUUUCCGCAUUACUUUUCAGGCUCGCAAUCAUGGCUUCUGAGCGGCUACUGAUCCUUCAGCCGCACAAUUGGGCUUUGAGGAGAGACUAUGGCAUGAUGUUGUACUAUGACCGAGAAUACGAGGCUGCGGUCCAAGAGCUUAGCAUCUGCAUGGCCUUUGCACCUGAAG